rnacentral:rRNA from 1 species
GAUGAACGCUGGCGGCAUGCCUAAUACAUGCAAGUCGAACGAAGUGUUUACACUUAGUGGCGAACGGGUGAGUAACACGUACCUAACCUACCCUUUAGUGUGGGAUAACAGUUAGAAAUGACUGCUAAUACCGCAUAUGAUUCAAAUAAUAAUAUUUGAAAUUGAAAGACGCGUUUGCGUCGCUAAAGAAUGGGGGUGCGGCGUAUUAGCUAGUUGGUAGAGUAAUAGCCUACCAAGGCAAUGAUACGUAGCCGACCUGAGAGGGUGAUCGGCCACAUCGGGACUGAGAUACGGCCCGAACUCCUACGGGAGGCAGCAGUAGGAAUUUUCCACAAUGGACGAAAGUCUGAUGGAGCAAUGCCGCGUGAUUGAUGACAGCCUUAGGGUUGUAAAGAUCUGUUGUUAGAGAAGAAAAAGUCAUAUAGGAAAUGAUAUGGCCUUGACGGUAUCUAACCAGAAAGCCACGGCUAACUAUGUGCCAGCAGCC